AGUUUGACUGGGGCGGUCUCCUCCUAAAGAGUAACGGAGGAGCACGAAGGUUGGCUAAUCCUGGUCGGACAUCAGGAGGUUAGUGCAAUGGCAUAAGCCAGCUUGACUGCGAGCGUGACGGCGCGAGCAGGUGCGAAAGCAGGUCAUAGUGAUCCGGUGGUUCUGAAUGGAAGGGCCAUCGCUCAACGGAUAAAAGGUACUCCGGGGAUAACAGGCUGAUACCGCCCAAGAGUUCAUAUCGACGGCGGUGUUUGGCACCUCGAUGUCGGCUCAUCACAUCCUGGGGCUGAAGUAGGUCCCAAGGGUAUGGCUGUUCGCCAUUUAAAGUGGUACGCGAGCUGGGUUUAGAACGUCGUGAGACAGUUCGGUCCCUAUCUGCCGUGGGCGCUGGAGAACUGAGGGGGGCUGCUCCUAGUACGAGAGGACCGGAGUGGACGCAUCACUGGUGUUCGGGUUGUCAUGCCAAUGGCACUGCCCGGUAGCUAAAUGCGGAAGAGAUAAGUGCUGAAAGCAUCUAA
rnacentral:rRNA from 2 species